UAUAUAAUAUAUAACGCUAGAAUAAAAAAUUAAAUUUUCAAUUAACUUUAUAAUUACGGAUAUUAUAAUUAGUAUAUUAGCAAAUAAAAUUAAUUAUUUUAUACCGGAUUUAUAUUACGAUUAAAUAAUUGGGCCGGUAUUACAAAGGCCAAAUAGGGUUAUACCCCUCCUAAUAAUAUACCAAAAGAAACCACCGACCGACAAAAACAGGACUAUAUAAAAAAUGGAUUACGUAAUAUUAUAUAAAUACUAAAUAAAUAAUUUUAAUAGUUUUGCAAAAAUUAAAAUAAUUAUAUUUAGAAAAUAAUUUAUAUAAAGCACGUUUAUUACCAUAUAAAUUUAAUUUGAAAUUUUUAGUAACAAUUAAUUAAUUAUUUACUUAAAAAUCAAUUACAAUUCUACCCCAAGUAUUAAAAAACAGCUAAUUAUCCAACCAAAACGUUUAAUUAUUUUAACCUAUUAUAUUUUACUGUAAAACUAAAUUACCCUAAUAUUUUAAUUGUAAUAUUUUAAUUGCUUUUGUUUAAUACUCUGCUUUAAAAUAUACCGAAUAAUACCGCCGAAAUAAUAUCUUCCAACAAAACUAUUUUUUAAACCCUUUUUAUUAUGAACAUUCCGACCAGCGCCAACGUUUUACAUUAAAUAAUCGCAACGUUCCAAUUAAAAAAUCGAUAAUUCCAGGAAUAAAUAACCAGAUACAUUAACCAAAUUAAUAAAUAUAAUAUUAAAUAUCUUUUACCGUUAUUUUACAAUAAUAUUACAAAUAUUUUAUAAAAGUUUUUUAUAAAAACCCGGGUAUAUUUCUAUUUUAACGAAAAUAAUUUUAAUAAUAAUGCAAAUAAAAUUAUUUACGCGGUUUCAUUAUUAAAAGGCAAUACGUUCGCCUGGUUCGAAUUCUUUUUGCAAAAUCGCUUGGACUAUAAUAAAAAAACCGUAAAAUCAAAACCAAACGUAUUUUCGACAAUUACGAAAGUUUCAAAAAAUGCUUUAGGGAAAUAUUUGGUAAUUUAAAGAAAUAUAUACUGUUAAACGUAAAUUAAUACGCUUUACCCAAACUAAACCAGUAUUUAAAUAUAUUAGUAAAUUCUAAGAAGUUACUACCAAAUUAUUAUGGGGUAAAAAGACCCUAAAAACUCGUUUUUAUAUAAAAGUUAAAAUAGAAAUUAAAAACAAAUUAGUUAAAAAAAACGACCCAAUAUAUUAAUAAAAUAUAUAAAAUUAACGGUUAAAAUAAACAACCGAUUUUAUAAAUAAAAAUUGGAACGACGGGAAAAACGCAACGUAUGGGGCCCAAUUUUGUAAUAAAUUAAUAUAAAAUGCAAAUACCAAUAUUUUAAAAUACCUCGCCAAUAUAAUAUUUUAUGUAAUAUAUAUAGCGGAUUUAUGGGUUUAAACGCAAUUUAUUACCGACAAUUUUGCAAAAACGCCAAAAAUGGCAAACAUUUUAAAUGCGACAAAAUAUUACAUUGUUAAAAGUUACCCUGGAAACCAAAAUAAUACCCCUAAUUUUACCGUAAUUAUAAGGGCAAGACCGAAAAACCACGAAAGUUUAAUAAUAUUUACCAUUAAUAGGUAUAAUUUAAUUAAUAUAAUAUAAAGAAUUGGACUAUUUAUUAUAAUAAUAAUUAUUUAAUUUAUAAUAGUUUUAAAAUCGACGCAGAUUAAUACUUAUAUAAACCUCGAAAUAUCCGAAUUUUAACGGUAAAAAACUAAAUAUUAUUAGAGUAAAAUAACCAGUAAAUUUAUAUUAAUAAAAAACCCAAUUACCUAAAUUUACAAAUUCGGACAUUUUAAGAAAAUUAAAUAGGUUAUUUUUAAAACAAAUUUAUUAUAUUAAGACGAUUAAUUAAUUUUCAAGUUAAAAAUCAAAUAAAAUAUAACGGAAAGAUUUAAUAAAGACGGAGUUAUAUUUUUAAACCAAUAUAUUACGGUAAAAAAAAUUAUUUUUUAUAUAUAAAAAUAUAUUAAUUUAUACCAAAAAGACCAAUUAAUAUAAUUCCCCGGAAUAUUAUUUUUAAUAUAAUCCGGAAUUUUAUAAACCCAAUUAACCUAAUUUUUAAAAACCACCAAAUUUCAAACACCAAAUAUCCCCCAUACGUAAAAAUCUUUUAAGCAAAAUAUUUUUGAAACAAUUAUAUAUUUUACCUAAAUAAGAAAAUAAUUUACAAUUGCUCUCCCCGAUAAUAUAAAAUAACAAAUAUUUACAAAAUAUAUAUUAUAAUUAAUUUACCGAAUUGGGAAAUUUAAAUAAAAUUUAAUACCAAACCAGCAGUAAUUUUUAUUUUUUGCGAUAAUUAUUUUAUAACGUAUUACAACCAAAAAUAAUUCCUAUAAUAUAAAUAUAUUCGAAACGUAUAAUAUAUAUAUAUAUAUUAACCAAAAUAUAAAUUUAGCACAAAUAAAAAUUACGGUAACCAGCAUUUGCAUUUACAACUAAGAUUAUAUAAAACUUUAACGUAUAUAAAAUAACGGAAUAAUUACAAACGUACGCAAAAUACCCGUACCAGCAGAACACCCAUUUAAGUUAAUUAAAAUAAAAAAUAAUUAUACGUUUGAAAAUAAAAAGUAUAAAAACCCACGACGCGAAUUUAACAAAUUAAAAAAUAAGGACAGCCAAAUGGUAUAAAAUACCGGAAAACAAUAAUAAAAACGAAAUAAAAAACUUUUAACGUUAUAUAAAAUAUAAUAAUAGCGUAUAAAUAUAUAUAUAUUUCGAUAUAUAAUUUAAUAAUAAGCUUAUAUAAAUAUUUUUCGAUAAUGUAAUAUAAAAUAAUUAUAUUUUACCAAAAGUUAUAACGCAACGACGGAUAUUUUAACAACGGAAAAAAACCAUACUAAUUGCAACCCGUGGAAAAAAAGGCAAUUUUAUACGGGAACGGCACCGUCGAAAUAGAAACCGUAUAUUUUUAAAGGGAAAACCACGGACGAAAAAAAACAAAUUAUUUUGGAUAUUACGGAAAUAAAAAAUCGAAAUAUAAUUUUAGAAGUUUUUUAAUUUAGGAAAAACGGCCCCAAAAUAUAUUAGAUAACCGGCCAAAUUUAAUGGGAAAACUAUUAAUUUUUUUAAAAAAAACCCAAAAACCGGGUUAUCCGCAACGUAUAUAAAAUAUAAAAGCAAAACUACCAAAAAAUAUUAAUAUUAUUAAGAAGAAAUUAUAUUUAAACUAAUAUUGGAAAAAAUUGCAAUUAUCCACGAACGAAAAACAGUUAAAUUUUACCAUUUUAAUUAAUAAUAUCCCGGCCAAAUACCAGAUAUAUAAAUAAUUAUCUAACCCCAAAUUUAUAACGAAUUAUCUAAAUAUAAUUUAUUCGGCUACGAAAUUAACAGUUUUAGUUAGAAAAUAAAUAAUCCCCGUUGCAUAUACGCUAGGUAUACAUUUUACUAUUACCCCUGUAAUAAAGAAGACAUGUGGUUUUGCAGUUGUUAGGCAUUUUGUGCUGCUAAACGAACCGCACUGAAAAAAAAUAAUCCAUAUGGCCGCGAAUUAGUCAAUCCAUGGCGGUGAAAUAGUCACACCCUUUUUAUACAAUGAAAUUAACCAAUUGAAUA
rnacentral:sRNA from 1 species